GGUUUUGGUUUAGGUUAAUGUUAUAGGUAUAGGUUAAGGUUAUUGGUUAAGGUUAAGGUUUAGGUUACAGGUUAAGGUUUUAGGUUUUGGUUUAGGUUAAGGUUUAGGUCAUAGGUUUUGUUUUAGGUUAAGGUUAUAGGUGUUGGUUAAGGUUUUAGGUCAUAGGUUUUGGUUUAGGUUAAGGUUAUAGGUUUAGGUUAAGGUUUAGGUUUAGGUUUAGGUUUAGGUUAAGGUUUACGUUUAGGUUAUAAGCUAUAGGUUUAGGGAAUUGAGAAUAGGUUAAGGUUUAGG